CACUUGGAAGUGGUGGAUCCCAGCCUGCAGAAUAAAGUGCUCCUUGCCUUUUCAUACUCUUUGGUAUCAUUCUUCAGGGAAUCAUGGACCCUUACACUGAUGUGUGCCGUAACUUCCACGAACAGGGGUGGGGGUGGGGCAUUCUGUCUGUAGAUCUGUUUUGAGUUGAGGUCUAAAAGGAUAGUUAUGCAUGAGUCAGCUGACCGUUCCUAGCCUCAGUUUCCUCCUCUGCAGCCUGAGACAGUUCAAGAGCAGCCGCAACACAUUGUAAUGCUCCAUGGCUCCUGUAUCCUGACAUCACUGACUUUCUGUGGGUCUGCAUCACUACUCGGCAUGGCUCCUUUAUAUAUUUGUUGUUCAUCUUGAAGAUGAAGAAAUGGGGACUUGGAGCAGUGAGAUAUCUCUACCCAACAGGCUCUGCUUAUAUGUUAAAAUGCUGUGACUUCAAAGAACAGAAAGCCCCCACC